AACGCGAAGAACCUUACCUACUCUUGACAUCCAGAGAACUUUCCAGAGAUGGAUUGGUGCCUUCGGGAACUCUGAGACAGGUGCUGCAUGGCUGUCGUCAGCUCGUGUUGUGAAAUGUUGGGUUAAGUCCCGCAACGAGCGCAACCCUUAUCCUUUGUUGGGGGGGGGUCCGGCCGGGAACUCAAAAGGAGACUGCCAGUGAUAAACUGGAGGAAAAAAAGGGGAAACGUCAAGUCAUCAUGGCCCUUACGAGUAGGGCUACACACGUGCUACAAUGGCGCAUACAAAGAGAAGCGACCUCGCGAGAGCAAGCGGACCUCAUAAAGUGCGUCGUAGUCCGGAUUGGAGUCUGCAACUCGACUCCAUGAAGUCGGAAUCGCUAGUAAUCGUAGAUCAGAAUGCUACGGUGAAUACGUUCCCGGGCCUUGUACACACCGCCCGUCACACCACGGGAGUGGGUUGCAAAAGAAGUAGGUAGCUUAACCUUCGGGAGGGCGCUUACCACUUUGUGAUUCAUGACUGGGGUGAAGUCGUAACAAGGUAACC
rnacentral:rRNA from 1 species